AGCGAACGCUGGCGGCAGGCCUAACACAUGCAAGUCGAACGGACCUUUCGGGGUUAGUGGCGGACGGGUGAGUAACACGUGGGAACGUGCCUUUAGGUUCGGAAUAGCUCCUGGAAACGGGUGGUAAUGCCGAAUGUGCCCUUAGGGGGAAAGAUUUAUCGCCUUUAGAGCGGCCCGCGUCUGAUUAGCUAGUUGGUGAGGUAAUGGCUCACCAAGGCUACGAUCAGUAGCUGGUCUGAGAGGAUGACCAGCCACAUUGGGACUGAGACACGGCCCAAACUCCUACGGGAGGCAGCAGUGGGGAAUCUUGCGCAAUGGGCGAAAGCCUGACGCAGCCAUGCCGCGUGGAUGAUGGAGGUCUUAGGAUUGUAAAAUCGUUUCACCGGUGAAGAUAAUGACUGUAGCCGGAGAAGAAGCCCCGGCUAACUUCGUGCCAGCCGCCGCUGUAA
rnacentral:rRNA from 1 species